rnacentral:rRNA from 1 species
UACGGAGGGUGCAAGCGUUAUCCGGAUUCACUGGGUUUAAAGGGUGCGUAGGUGGGCAGUUAAGUCAGUGGUGAAAUCUCCGGGCUUAACCCGGAACGGUCAGCCGAUACUGCAGGGCUAGAGUGCAGAAGGGGCAACUGGAAUUCUCGGUGUAGCGGUGAAAUGCGUAGAUAUCGAGAGGAACACCUGCGGCGAAGGCGGGUUGCUGGGCUGACACUGACGCUGAGGCGCGAAAGCUAGGGGAGCGAACGGG